UGGGGAAUUUUGGACAAUGGGGGAAACCCUGAUCCAGCCAUCCCGCGUGUGCGAUGAAGGCCUUCGGGUUGUAAAGCACUUUUGGCAGGAAAGAAACGUCAUGGGUUAAUACCCCGUGAAACUGACGGUACCUGCAGAAUAAGCACCGGCUAACUACGUGCCAGCAGCCGCGGUAAUACGUAGGGUGCAAGCGUUAAUCGGAAUUACUGGGCGUAAAGCGUGCGCAGGCGGUGCGGAAAGAAAGAUGUGAAAUCCCAGAGCUCAACUUUAGAACUGCAUUUUUAACUACCGAGCUAGAGUGUGUCAGAGGGAGGUGGAAUUCCGCGUGUAGCAGUGAAAUGCGUAGAUAUGCGGAGGAACACCGAUGGCGAAGGCAGCCUCCUGGGAUAACACUGACGCUCAUGCACGAAAGCGUGGGGAGCAAACAGG
rnacentral:rRNA from 1 species